rnacentral:rRNA from 1 species
GCUAUCGGAUUGAUACUAAGCCAUGCGAGUCAUUGUAGCAAUACAAGGCAUACGGCUCAGUAACGCGUAGUCAACCUAACCUAUGGACGGGAAUAACCUCGGGAAACUGAGAAUAAUGCCCGAUAGAACAUUAUGCCUGGAAUGGUUUAUGUUCCAAAUGAUUUAUCGCCGUAGGAUGGGACUGCGGCCUAUCAGUUUGUUGGUGAGGUAAUGGCCCACCAAGACUAUUACAGGUACGGGCUCUGAGAGGAGUAGCCCGGAGAUGGGUACUGAGACACGGACCCAGGCCCUAUGGGGCGCAGCAGGCGAGAAAACUUUGCAAUGUGCGAAAGCACGACAAGGUUAAUCCGAGUGGUUUCUGCUAAAGGAACCUUUUGUCAGUCCUAGAAACACUGAUGAAUAAGGGGUGGGCAAGUUCUGGUGUCAGCCGCCGCGGUAAAACCAGCACCUCAAGUGGUCAGGAUGAUUAUUGGGCCUAAAGCAUCCGUAGCCGGCUCUGUAAGUUUUCGGUUAAAUCUGUACGCUCAACGUACAGGCUGCCGGGAAUACUGCAAAGCUAGGGAGUGGGAGAGGUAGACGGUACUCGGUAGGAAGGGGUAAAAUCCUUUGAUCUAUUGAUGACCACCUGUGGCGAAGGCGGCCUACCAGAACACGUCCGACGGUGAGGGAUGAAAGCUGGGGGAGCAAACCGGAUUAGAUACCCGGGUAGUCCCAGCUGUAAACCAUGCAAACUCAGUGAUGCAUUGGCUUGUGGCCAAUGCAGUGCUGCAGGGAAGCCGUUAAGUUUGCCGCCUGGGAAGUACGUACGCAAGUAUGAAACUUAAAGGAAUUGGCGGGGGAGCACCAC